UACGAAGGGUGCAAACGUUGCUCGGAAUUAUUGGGCGUAAAGCGCACGUAGGCGGCUUUGCAAGUCGGAUGUGAAAUCCCUCGGCUUAACCAAGGAAGUGCAUCCGAAACUGCAGAGCUUGAGUACUUAAGAGGAUCGCGGAAUUCCCGGUGUAGAGGUGAAAUUCGUAGAUAUCGGGGAGGAACACCAGUGGCGAAGGCGGCGACCUGGGCCAAUACUGAACGCGUGAGGUGG
rnacentral:rRNA from 1 species